rnacentral:rRNA from 1 species
GACGAACGCUGGCGGCGUGCCUAAUACAUGCAAGUAUAACGCUGAAGGAGGAGCUUGCUUCUCUGGAUGAGUUGCGAACGGGUGAGUAACGCGUAGGUAACCUGCCUGGUAGCGGGGGAUAACUAUUGGAAACGAUAGCUAAUACCGCAUAAUAGUAGAUGUCGCAUGACAUUUGCUUAAAAGGUGCACUUGCAUCACUACCAGAUGGACCUGCGUUGUAUUAGCUAGUUGGUGAGGUAACGGCUCACCAAGGCAACGAUACAUAGCCGACCUGAGAGGGUGAUAGGCCACACUGGGACUGAGACACGGCCCAGACUCCUACGGGAGGCAGCAGUAGGGAAUCUUCGGCAAUGGACGGAAGUCUGACCGAGCAACGCCGCGUGAGUGAAGAAGGUUUUCGGAUCGUAAAGCUCUGUUGUAAGAGAAGAACGAGUGUGAGAGUGGAAAGUUCACACUGUGACGGUAUCUGACCAGAAAGGGACGGCUAACUACGUG